UAGAGUUUGAUCCUGGCUCAGAUUGAACGCUGGCGGAAUGCUUUACACAUGCAAGUCGAACGGCAGCACGGGAGCUUGCUCCUGGUGGCGAGUGGCGAACGGGUGAGUAAUGCGUCGGAACGUACCGAGUAAUGGGGGAUAACGCAGCGAAAGUUGUGCUAAUACCGCAUACGCCCCGAGGGGGAAAGCAGGGGAUCGCAAGACCUUGCGUUAUUCGAGCGGCCGACGUCUGAUUAGCUAGUUGGUGAGGUAAUGGCCCACCAAGGCGACGAUCAGUAGCGGGUCUGAGAGGAUGAUCCGCCACACUGGGACUGAGACACGGCCCAGACUCCUACGGGAGGCAGCAGUGGGGAAUUUUGGACAAUGGGGGCAACCCUGAUCCAGCCAUUCCGCGUGAGUGAAGAAGGCCUUCGGGUUGUAAAGCUCUUUCAGCAGGAACGAAACGGUACGCUCUAACAUAGCGUGCUAAUGACGGUACCUGCAGAAGAAGCACCGGCUAACUACGUGCCAGCAGCCGCGGUAAUACGUAGGGUGCGAGCGUUAAUCGGAAUUACUGGGCGUAAAGCGUGCGCAGGCGGAUUGUUAAGCAAGAUGUGAAAUCCCCGGGCUUAACCUGGGAAUGGCAUUUUGAACUGGCAGUCUAGAGUGUGUCAGAGGGGGGUGGAAUUCCACGUGUAGCAGUGAAAUGCGUAGAGAUGUGGAGGAACACCGAUGGCGAAGGCAGCCCCCUGGGAUAACACUGACGCUCAUGUACGAAAGCGUGGGUAGCAAACAGGAUUAGAUACCCUGGUAGUCCACGCCCUAAACGAUGUCAACUGGUUGUUGGGGGAGUGAAAUCCCUUAGUAACGAAGCUAACGCGUGAAGUUGACCGCCUGGGGAGUACGGUCGCAAGAUUAAAACUCAAAGGAAUUGACGGA
rnacentral:rRNA from 1 species